AGCGAACGCUGGCGGCAGGCCUAACACAUGCAAGUCGAACGAAGUCUUCGGACUUAGUGGCGGACGGGUGAGUAACACGCGGGAACGUGCCUUUAGGUUCGGAAUAACUCAGGGAAACUUGUGCUAAUACCGAAUGUGCCCUUCGGGGGAAAGAUUUAUCGCCUUUAGAGCGGCCCGCGUCUAAUUAGCUAGUUGGUGAGGUAAAGGCUCACCAAGGCUACGAUCAGUAGCUGGUCUGAGAGGAUGACCAGCCACAUUGGGACUGAGACACGGCCCAAACUCCUACGGGAGGCAGCAGUGGGGAAUCUUGCGCAAUGGGCGAAAGCCUGACGCAGCCAUGCCGCGUGGAUGAUGAAGGUCUUAGGAUUGUAAAAUCCUUUCACCGGUGAAGAUAAUGACUGUAGCCGGAGAAGAAGCCCCGGCUAACUUCGUGCCAGCCGCCGCGGUAAAAC
rnacentral:rRNA from 1 species